AUAACUGAAAUCAGCAACAGCUGUGUUGGUGUGUAAAAGCUGAUGUUGUCGCCGUCAUCUUGCAUGGUAGAGCUUUUUUUGCAAUACUAUGCUCUUAGGAUCAUUUUCACCACUGUGACUUGGUGGCCUAAAGGGGAACCAAAAGCCAUUCAAUAAAUUAUCCCAUGGGUCUUACCUCAUAAAAAAAAUGCUGUGGGCACUUGUUUUAUUUUGAUUCGACUUUCAUAGCCAUUUGACUCCUGUUACUGUGUACACACCAUUUUCACAAGUUCAAUAAGCAUAUUUGCUGUGCAGCGCAUUACUGAGAAGCAAAAUAAGGUGGUCAUAACAGACAGGAUGUGGGCACGACUUCUUUCUUCAACCAAUCAGCCAAGUUUCUUGAGCACAAAAGACAUUAUUCAAGUGCAAAAGAAGCAACAUCCACCGACUCAGUUGUUAGAUGGAGAUAACAAUGAAAAUGAGAUUUCAGUUGCUCUCUCUACUACCUUUGAAUCUGCAAUGCCUACCGUAAUGUCAGGUUAAUCGGGUCUUGUAGGAACUUAUUUGAAGGUUUUGGAUCUGUUACCGUGCCUCAGCUGUGGGCACUAACAGAUGUAUAUUGAAGGUUUUGUUGUAUCUAGUGAAGUUGUGCCAAAGCUUCGUUGUAUUCAUGAUUAUGAACCAUAUUUAUUUCUAUGUUGUGGAGGUGUUGUUCCCAAAUUUUUUGUUAUCUCC